GAGUUGCGAACGGGUGAGUAACGCGUAGGUAACCUGCCUAUUAGAGGGGGAUAACUAUUGGAAACGAUAGCUAAUACCGCAUAACAGUAUGUAACACAUGUUAGAUGCUUGAAAGAUGCAAUUGCAUCGCUAGUAGAUGGACCUGCGUUGUAUUAGCUAGUAGGUAGGGUAAUGGCCUACCUAGGCGACGAUACAUAGCCGACCUGAGAGGGUGAUCGGCCACACUGGGACUGAGACACGGCCCAGACUCCUACGGGAGGCAGCAGUAGGGAAUCUUCGGCAAUGGGGGGAACCCUGACCGAGCAACGCCGCGUGAGUGAAGAAGGUUUUCGGAUCGUAAAGCUCUGUUGUUAAGGAAGAACGAGUGUGAGAAUGGAAAGUUCAUACUGUGACGGUACUUAACCAGAAAGGGACGGCUAACUACGUGCCAGCAGCCGCGGUAAUACGUAGGUCCCGAGCGUUGUCCGGAUUUAUUGGGCGUAAAGCGAGCGCAGGCGGUUAGAAAAGUCUGAAGUGAAAGGCAGUGGCUCAACCAUUGUAGGCUUUGGAAACUGUUUAACUUGAGUGCAGAAGGGGAGAGUGGAAUUCCAUGUGUAGCGGUGAAAUGCGUAGAUAUAUGGAGGAACACCGGUGGCGAAAGCGGCUCUCUGGUCUGUAACUGACGCUGAGGCUCGAAAGCGUGGGGAGCGAACAGGAUUAGAUACCCUGGUAGUCCACGCCGUAAACGAUGAGUGCUAGGUGUUGGGUCCUUUCCGGGACUCAGUGCCGCAGCUAACGCAUUAAGCACUCCGCCUGGGGAGUACGACCGCAAGGUUGAAACUCAAAGGAAUUGACGGGGGCCCGCACAAGCGGUGGAGCAUGUGGUUUAAUUCGAAGCAACGCGAAGAACCUUACCAGGUCUUGACAUCCCGAUGCUAUUUCUAGAGAUAGGAAGUUUCUUCGGAACAUCGGUGACAGGUGGUGCAUGGUUGUCGUCAGCUCGUGUCGUGAGAUGUUGGGUUAAGUCCCGCAACGAGCGCAACCCUUAUUGUUAGUUGCCAUCAUUAAGUUGGGCACUCUAGCGAGACUGCCGGUAAUAAACCGGAGGAAGGUGGGGAUGACGUCAAAUCAUCAUGCCCCUUAUGACCUGGGCUACACACGUGCUACAAUGGCUGGUACAACGAGUCGCAAGCCGGUGACGGCAAGCUAAUCUCUGAAAGCCAGUCUCAGUUCGGAUUGUAGGCUGCAACUCGCCUACAUGAAGUCGGAAUC
rnacentral:rRNA from 1 species